AGUUUUGUGGUGUAGUUGGUUAUCACAUCGGUCUAACACACUAAUGGUCCCUGGUUUGAGCCUGGACAAAAUCA